CUUGCGCUAAUAGAUGAGCCUAAGUCAGAUUAGCUAGUUGGUGGGGUAAAGGCCUACCAAGGCGACGAUCAGUAGCUGGUCUGAGAGGACGAUCAGCCACACUGGGACUGAGACACGGCCCAGACUCCUACGGGAGGCAGCAGUGGGGAAUAUUGCACAAUGGGCGCAAGCCUGAUGCAGCGACGCCGCGUGAGGGAUGACGGCCUUCGGGUUGUAAACCUCUUUCAGCACCGACGAAGCGCCAUUAAAGGCGGUGACGGUAGGUGCAGAAGAAGGACCGGCCAACUACGUGCCAGCAGCCGCGGUAAUACGUAGGGUCCGAGCGUUGUCCGGAAUUAUUGGGCGUAAAGGGCUCGUAGGCGGUCUGUCACGUCGGGAGUGAAAACUUACAGCUUAACUGUGAGCGUGCUUCCGAUACGGGCAGACUUGAGGUAUUCAGGGGAGAACGGAAUUCCUGGUGUAGCGGUGAAAUGCGCAGAUAUCAGGAGGAACACCGGUGGCGAAGGCGGUUCUCUGGGAAUAUCCUGACGCUGAGGAGCGAAAGUGUGGGGAGCGAACAGGAUUAGAUACCCUGGUAGUCCACACCGUAAACGUUGGGCGCUAGGUGUGGGGUCCAUUCCACGGAUUCCGUGCCGCAGCUAACGCAUUAAGCGCCCCGCCUGGGGAGUACGGCCGCAAGGUUAAAACUCAAA
rnacentral:rRNA from 1 species